rnacentral:miRNA from 1 species
GUUUUCUUUUCCCUUUUCUUUCCUGUUUGUUUGUGUGUCCGUCUGUGAAAAUAGAAAAAAAAAAAAAAAGAAACACAAACAAACAGGAAAGAAAAGGGCUGGAAAC